rnacentral:rRNA from 1 species
UGAGGAAUAUUGGUCAAUGGGCGAGAGCCUGAACCAGCCAAGUAGCGUGCAGGAUGACGGCCCUAUGGGUUGUAAACUGCUUUUAUAAGGGAAUAAAGUUAGCCUCGUGAGGCUUUUUGCAUGUACCUUAUGAAUAAGGACCGGCUAAUUCCGUGCCAGCAGCCGCGGUAAUACGGAAGGUCCGGGCGUUAUCCGGAUUUAUUGGGUUUAAAGGGAGCGUAGGCCGGAGAUUAAGCGUGUUGUGAAAUGUAGGCGCUCAACGUCUGCACUGCAGCGCGAACUGGUUUCCUUGAGUACGCACAAAGUGGGCGGAAUUCGUGGUGUAGCGGUGAAAUGCUUAGAUAUCACGAAGAACUCCGAUUGCGAAGGCAGCUCACUGGA